rnacentral:lncRNA from 1 species
GGCGAGUGAAGGUUUGGUGUGGACUCCUCCUUCUUAAAAGUUUUCUUCUUGCGACAGUGGUCGUCGUGGAGUGGAGCGCUGGGUCACUGUGGUUCGAAGCUCGGUGUCUUGUUCCGAACCCUGGUGUUUGCUUGCGUUCAAUGAAGACUGCAGUUUUACAACUGUAGGUGCGUGCUCUGUUCAUCCGUGGCUGUGUGGCGGCGGGUCAGCGGAGAGUUUUGCGUGUGUAGCUCAAGAGUGCCGGCAUUUGCUAUGUCGUCUAUGGCAGUUGCUUCUCCCUCUCAGCCGCUACUCUUCAUUUGUCA